rnacentral:lncRNA from 1 species
UGUGCUUGAGAGGAGGAAGAAGAAGGAUGAAAAAGAGGAGGAAGAAGAAUCCCCACGCAGCCCUCUUUUCUUCCUUGCGUUGGAUGAAGGAAGGGAAGGGAAGGAGGACGCCAACUCUUGGACUUUUCUUCCUCUUUGCUUGCGGCUGAACCAAGAGGAGGAGGGGGGGCUCAUGGCUAGGAGGAAGAGGACUUCUUCUAUGCCCUAGGUCAGUCGCCC